UAGGAGGUGGGGCCUGCCUGGUCUCCAUGGCAAUUGCCGGUGACUUAUGCGAGCUUCUGUGUAGUCCAAGUAAGGCCAGAUCCAGCUGCCCUAAUGGUGGUUGAAUAAAUGACCGAUAAUCUCAAGGAUGGCAGGACAUGACGGAGGGAAGCCCGAUGACUACUUAAUCUUAUCAAUCGUGGCUAUCAUUUGCUUCUGGCCCCUAGGAAUUCCAGCCUUGAUCUUUUCAUACAAGACGGCAAACUACAAUCAAAAAAGACAAUAUGGCAAGGCAGCCAAGACCUCUGAAAUAACCUUCUACUUGUCCAUCGCAGCCAUUAUUUUGUUGGUUGUGCCACUCUUCAUUAUAAUCUUGAUGUCAUUGCUAAAGAAGUGACCUCAUUCUCACCACAAGAACUAACCACCAAAUACAUGCAAUAAUAUAACAAAACAC